GUCCUCGCGUGCUUUCCUCUUCAAUCGUUGGUGCAAGAGCUGUUCGGGGCCUUGCACUAUUUGCUGGUUUCCUGUGUUGCAUACCUACAUCGACGGAAUUCGUCAGUCAAUUCUUCCCAAGUUCGCUUAUUGCUUCCGUUUUGCACGGUGCGGCUAAGGGUGAACCUCAAAAGUGAAAAUUGUGUUCCACAUUGCUCACGCACUACGUUGAACUUUGUGGCCCAUGAUUUUUUCUUGACCUUUGGGACGCAGAAAACGCUAUGGGUACGGGGUCUCCGACCUCUAUUUGCCCACAAAUCGGCAACACACGCCCCAUUCGAAUGACGUUUGGUGGAGAGCAUGGAUGUUCCGCAUCUUGCGACCCCAAUGUCUACGAGGAAGGCUACCUGGUUGAUCCUGCCAGUAGUCAUAUGCUUGUCUCAAAGA
rnacentral:misc_RNA from 1 species